rnacentral:rRNA from 1 species
UACGUAGGGUCCGAGCGUUGUCCGGAAUUAUUGGGCGUAAAGGGCUCGUAGGCGGUUUGUCGCGUCGUUCGUGAAAACUCACAGCUUAACUGUGAGCUUGCGGUCGGUACGGGCAGGCUAGAGUUCGGUAGGGGAGACUGGAAUUCCUGGUGUAGCGGUGAAAUGCGUAGAGAUCCGGAAGAACACCGGUGGCGAAGGCGGUCUGCUGGGGUAAUGCUGACACUGAUGCGCGACAGCGUGGGGAGCAAACAGG